CACGUAGGGGGCGAGCGUUGUCCGGAAUUACUGGGCGUAAAGGGCGCGUAGGCGGUUAGUCGUGUCAGGUGUGAAAGGCCAGGGCUCAACCCUGGACUUGCACUUGAAACUGGCUAACUUGAGGGCAGGAGAGGCAGGUGGAAUUCCUGGUGUAGCGGUGAAAUGCGUAGAUAUCAGGAGGAACACCGGUGGCGAAGGCGACCUGCUGGACUGGCCCUGACGCUGAGGCGCGAAAGCGUGGGGAGCAAACAGG
rnacentral:rRNA from 1 species